GACCUGACUGCUAUCGGAUUGAUACUAAGCCAUGCGAGUCUUUGCAGUAAUGCAAGGCGGACUGCUCAGUAACACGUAGUCAACUUAACCUAUGGAUGGGUAUAACCUCGGGGAACUGAGAAUAAUUCCCAAUAGAUCAUUUAUCCUGGAAUGGUUGAUGAUUGAAAUGAUUCGUCGCCAUAGGAUGGGACUGCGGCCUAUCAGCUUGUUGGUGAGGUAAAGGCCCACCAAGGCUAUUACAGGUACGGGCUCUGAGAGGAGAAGCCCGGAGAUGGGUACUGAGACACGGACCCAGGCCCUAUGGGGCGCAGCAGGCGAGAAAACUUUGCAAUGUGCGAAAGCACGACAAGGUUAAUCCGAGUGAUUUCUGCUAAAGAAAUCUUUUGCCAGUUCUAAAAAUACUGGUGAAUAAGGGGUGGGCAAGUUCUGGUGUCAGCCGCCGCGGUAAAACCAGCACCUCAAGUUGUCAGGAGGAUUAUUGGGCCUAAAGCAUCCGUAGCCGGCUCUGUUAGUUUUCGGUUAAAUCCAUAUGCUCAACAUAUGGGCUGUCGGAAAUACUGCAGAGCUAGGGAAUGGGAGAGGUAGACGGUACUCGGUAGGAAGGGGUAAAAUCCUUUGAUCUAUCGAUGACCACCUGUGGCGAAGGCGGUCUACCAGAACAUGUUCGACGGUGAGGGAUGAAAGCUGGGGGAGCAAACCGGAUUAGAUACCCGGGUAGUCCCAGCUGUAAACGAUGCAGACUAGAUGAUGCAUUAGCAUAUAGCUAGUGCAGUGUCUCAGGGAAGCCGUUAAGUCUGCCGCCUGGGAAGUACGUACGCAAGUAUGAAACUUAAAGGAAUUGGCGGGGGAGCACCACAAGGGGUGAAGCCUGCGGUUCAAUUGGAGUCAACGC
rnacentral:rRNA from 1 species